AGCAGCCGCGGUAAUUCCAGCUCCAAUAGCGUAUAUUAAAGUUGUUGCAGUUAAAAAGCUCGUAGUUGAAUUUCGGGAUCAAAGGAUCGGUCAUGCCUUGGUAUGUACUGGUUUUAUUGGUUCUCACCUUCUAAAGAACCAUAAUGUCAUUCAUUUGAUGUUAUGGGGAAUUAGGACUGUUACCUUGAAAAAAUUAGAGUGUUUAAAGCAGGCUUACGCUUGAAUACAUUAGCAUGGAAUAAUGAAAUAGGACAUCAGAUUCUAUUUUGUUGGUUUCUAGGAUCGAUGUAAUGAUUAAUAGGGAUAGUUGGGGGCAUUAGUAUUCAAUUGUCAGAGGUGAAAUUCUUGGAUUUAUUGAAGACUAACUACUGCGAGAGCAUUUGCCAAGGAUGUUUUCAUUAAUCAAGAACGAAAGUUAGGGGAUCGAAGACGAUCAGAUACCGUCGUAGUCUUAACCAUAAACUAUGCCGACUAGGGAUCGGAUGAUGUUAAUUUUAUAAUGACUCAUUCGG
rnacentral:rRNA from 1 species